rnacentral:rRNA from 1 species
UACGUAGGGGGCAAGCGUUGUCCGGAUUUAUUGGGCGUAAAGAGCGUGUAGGCGGCCCGACAGGUCCGUUGUGAAAACUCGAGGCUCAACCUCGAGACGUCGAUGGAAACCGUCGGGCUAGAGUCCGGAAGAGGAGAGUGGAAUUCCUGGUGUAGCGGUGGAAUGCGCAGAUAUCAGGAGGAACACCGGUGGCGAAGGCGGGAUCCUGGGCCAGUACUGACGCUGAGGAGCGAAAGCGUGGGGAGCAAACAGG